UGCCCUCAUGGGGUAGCUAGGAUAUCCUCGCGGACUGCGGAUCCGUGGACUCGGGUUCAAAUCCCGAUGGGGGCGU
rnacentral:tRNA from 1 species